rnacentral:rRNA from 1 species
CCUACGGGAGGCAGCAGUGAGGAAUAUUGGUCAAUGGACGCAAGUCUGAACCAGCCAUGCCGCGUGCAGGAAGACGGCUCUAUGAGUUGUAAACUGCUUUUGUACGAGGGUAAACGCAGAUACGCGUAUCUGUCUGAAAGUAUCGUACGAAUAAGGAUCGGCUAACUCCGUGCCAGCAGCCGCGGUAAUACGGAGGAUUCAAGCGUUAUCCGGAUUUAUUGGGUUUAAAGGGGGCGUAGGCGGUCGGAUAAGUUAGAGGUGAAAUCCCGGGGCUCAACUUCGGAAUUGCCUCUGAUACUGUUCGGCGAGAGAGUAGUAGGGGUAGGCGGAAUGUAUGGUGUAGCGGUGAAAUGCUUAGAGAUCAUACAGAACACCGAUUGCGAAGGCAGCUUACCGGGCUACUUCUGACGUUGAGGCACGAAAGCGUGGGGAGCAAACAGGAUUAGAUACCCGGGUAGUC